ensembl:lncRNA
CCAGAUCUCACAUUUGGGUUUCUUUUUAAUGCUUUACAUUGUAUAUUUGUGUCAAAAGUGUGUAAGACUCACUUUGUCAGACUUACGGAUGAAUCUGAGUUAUGAAUGUUCUCCUGGAACAGAACUAGCUUGUAACUUGGGACUUACUGCAUUUUGGAACAUGUUCCUCUAAGGGAGCAGCUUUUGAUGCUUCAGUCAUUAGGCCUGUCCUGCCCUACAGUAGAGUUGAGACUUCCGUCUGUGGAAGUUGCUUAGAGUUAGUAAUAACUAAGGAAGAUGAGGUAGAGUUGGAGUAGCUGAGCCAGUGUUUACCGAUUGUUUUGCACAGGUGUAGGUUUAUCAUUUUAACAAACACUUGUACAGGUAACAUGUUGCUGUUAGGAGCCUAGCAUAUCACAAAACCUUUGAUGUCUUUGGAAAGUCCAUUGGUAAAGAGUGUAACUGAACAAACUUCCCCUUUCCUGGCAAUGGAAUCAUCACCCUUAAGGAUGUUAGUGAACUGGCAGGAAGUAGCAUCCUCAUGACCUGGUGUGCAGGCCUCAGACAGGCAAAGCAGCAGUGACCACGAAGUGGCUGAGGAGUCUGCAGCAUGACUGAACAUGAGUCAUAGUACUUUUCUCUUGAAGGUUGCAGCCUUUUAACAAAUCUUCCUGUGUUCUGUUUGAUUGACUUUCCCAGGCCAUAUCAGGAAUGGUUAAAGACAAAGACUUUGCGCAGAGCUGCUAUGAAAAGAUUCCAUUCCAGUGAUGUCAGUUUCUUUGGCAUCGGACUGUCUAAUGCCGUCCUCUCUUAGAAGGGAGAAAUGGGGGCUGUGACAUCAUGGACCCCUCGUUUACAAAGCUGGAGAAGUACCAUCCCUCUUGCAACAACAACAACAACAACAACAAACAGCUAAGAAUCUCCAGGGCAGCUUAUUGGGAUGUAUAGCUCCUGCUCAAGGAUAUUUCUAGAUGACAGCACACUCAGCCUGCCUAAUCGUAGAAACAUGGUGGAGUGGUGAGUACAGGAGGUUGCAGAGGCCCAAGUGAUGGACUCCCACUGAUAAAUCAUCCCAGCAGUGCUGGGUAAUUUCAGCCAUGUGAUUAUCCUCCUCUAUGCUCAGUUUAAGACACUGGGGGCAACUAUAUAUGUAUAUUGAUUUGAAGAGGCUAAAUGUGAAUUUUCAGUUUUUGUUUUAGUCUCAGACUGCAUGGUAGAAGGGAACACCAGUUAGCAAAUAAAGAAUCCUGGGAAAAAUGUACUUCUUUAUUUCAUGCAUUUAUGUUAAACUUAAAGAGAAGAGGUGCUUUCUAUUGGAUGUUUCUAGAAGAAACAAUUAGUUCUGUGUGAGUUACAGGCCUAAAACAGUGUCUAAUACUUUAGAAAUGAGUCUCGGAAGAAGGGACAGCCUUUCUUCUGUCGGUGCCGCAGUAUAUCAGCAUUUGAAUGCUCUCCAUCGUAUGUGAGCAGCUCACCAGUAUCAUAAACUCAGCACCAUAACAAAUGAAAGAUACAAAGUUUAGAAAGCAGGAUGCUUCAUUGGAAAGGGAGAAAAAGGAGAAGAUAGAUAGCUGCCCUGACAAGAAUCAGGGCAGGGGGCUCCGGAAAGAUGGAGGACCUGUGGCCUUUGUUCUUGGCUGCUUUUAUUGGGUGCCAAGGACUCUUUGCCUACCUGGAACUUGCCAUAACCCAACUGGUUCCCUGGGCGGUCUUGGCAUUAGACUGAGCCCCCUUGCCUCCGUCAUUGUCAUUUCUUGGGGGGAGGGGUCCAUGUAACUUCUGUCUAUUUGUCCUUGAACAGUGUCUUAUCUCCAGGGUGGCAGGUGACUGGCUAGGAGGUGCAUAUUCAUGGUUAGUUUAGAGUUAGUAAGGGGAGGUGUGGGUCUCUGUUGUAGUAGUUAUAUAGUGGCCCUAGAGUGGAUACGAGUGUGUGUGUGUGUGUCUGUGUGUUAGUUCACCCCUGUAUACACUGAAUAGAGCUUUCCCCAGAGUUAGCCAGCCCCCUCCACCUUCUGCUUCCCCUGCAUUCUAUUGGAAGCAGAGAGGGACGGCUGGCCUUGGCUUUGUGCACUUGGCUUUCUCUGUCCUCUGCUUGUCAGCUCUUUCUCUGGUUUUGGGUGCAAGUUCCAAGGCCAUUUGGUGCCUUUCUUUUGAAGUGUUUUUUCUUUUCUCUACCCUUGAGCUUGAGACUGUUCUCAGGGGAAUUUUCCCAGUAAAGUUUUAACUCCUUCUAGUUAGGAUUAGCCAGAAAACCUAAUGAGCCCCCUAUUUUAUUCUUUCCCUGCCUACAGACCCCUUCCCCCUACACUGAUGGGUCACAAUCAGAGAUAUGCAAUGAGAAGACCCUGACAGGAAUCUUUCAAACUUAUUAAAAGCCAGGUGCAGAACUUCCCCACCGAGUUGGGGUUCUCCAGGGAACAUUAUCCAUGUCCCUUGGGGUUAUGAGUUUUGGUUUUCAGAAUGUAGCUUAUAUUUCUUUAGAAUGUUAAUGCCCUUAUCCUUCAUUUCACUUUUUCAGUCAAAAAAUGUAAAUAACAUAAGAAUUUAAUUUUGUUUCUCAUAUGUCAGCUUUUCUUUUUAGCUGAUCAUCAGCACAGUGGUACCUUGGUUCACAAACUUAAUUCUUUGCACAGUUCUGGUCAAAAACCAAAUUGGAUGAAAGCUAAUCAAAUUCUUUUUUCUUUUUUUUUUUUUUUGGCACGGGGGAUCGAACUCGGGACCUCAUGCUUACAAGGCAGGCGCCAGAACCACUGAGCUAAAUUCCCAGCCCCAGCUAAUCAAAUUCAAUGGUUAGGUCUAAUGUUGACCUGACCUUAUGGGGAAAUUUGAUUCAGUUCUCAUUCAAUUUACUUUACACCAGAAUUGUAGAAAGAAUUAAGUCUGUGUACUGAGGUACCACUGUAAUUUCUACUUGUAUUAAAAACUACAAGUUCACAUACCUGGUGUAUUUUUCUCUCACAUUUACAAUAGUAAUUGAGAUCAAAUUGUGUUUCAGCAAAACCUCAGUGCUAUGCCUAAGUUUUGAAAUUUGGCAUCUAUCAAGUAAUUACUGAAUGUUUGUAUUCAGCCAGCACCCCAAAUUCAUGACUGAAAAGCUGCUCUGCUUUGAUAGGGUUGCCAGCUUCUUUUGCAUUAAAACCCUUGUAAAGGUUCAAUGUAUAAUUCAGCAUAGAGUUUUAAAGAGCAACGUUCCUCAAUUCACACUUGUUUUUCUCCCCAUCUUAGUCUAAUGUUUAGAAUUUUGCUUUGAA